rnacentral:rRNA from 1 species
CCUACGGGGGGCAGCAGUGAGGAAUAUUGGUCAAUGGGCGGAAGCCUGAACCAGCCAAGUAGCGUGCGGGAUGAAGGCCCUACGGGUCGUAAACCGCUUUUGCACGGGGAUAACACCCUCCACUUGUGGAGGUCUGCCGGUACCGUGCGAAUAAUGGCCGGCUAAUUCGGUGCCAGCAGCCGCGGUAAUCCGGAGGGUGCAAGCGUUGUCCGGAGUCAUUGGGCGUAAAGAGUUCGUAGGUGGCAUAUUAAGUCUGGUGUUAAAUGCAGAAGCUCAACUUCUGUUCGGCACUGGAUACUGGUAAGCUUGAAUGCGGUAGAGGUAAAGGGAAUUCCUGGUGUAGCGGUGAAAUGCGUAGAUAUCAGGAGGAACAUCGGUGGCGUAAGCGCUUUACUGGGCCGUAAUUGACACUGAGGAACGAAAGCCGGGGUAGCAAAUGGGAUUAGAUACCCCUGUAGUC